GUGCACCAGUCGCGAAAACUCCACAAUGUGGGAAACCACGAUGGGGGAACUCCCAGUGCGCACACUUUGUGUGCGCUGUUCUCCUGCCUACAAAGCAGGAGCAGUAAGGGCCGGGUAAGACGGGUGCCAGCCGCCGCGGUAAUACCCGCGGCCCGAGUGGUGCUCAUUAUUAUUGAGUCUACAACGUCCGUAGCCGGUCGGGUAGAUUCCUGGGUAAAUCGAACCGCUCAACGGCUCGAAUUCCGGGGAGACCGCCCGACUAGGGACCGGGAGAGGCGUGAGGUACUCCUGAGGUAGGGGUAAAAUCCUGUAAUCCUGGGAGGACCACCAGUGGCGAAGGCGUCACGCUAGAACGGAUCCGAUGGUCAGGGACGAAGCCCAGGGGCGCAAACGGGAUUAGAUAUGAAGUUGAGUUGUUACUAGCUUCACUAGAAACCCCGGUAGUC
rnacentral:rRNA from 1 species